CCUUACUGCUAUCGGGAUGAGACUAAGCCAUGCAUGUCGAGCGCUCUUCAGCUAUGUAGAGAGCGCGGCGAACGGCUCAAUAACACGUAGUUAUCCUACCCUCGGGAUGGGAAUAACCCCGGGAAACUGGGAUUAAUGCCCACUAGAUGAUUAUACCUGGAAUGGCUUAUCAUCGAAAGAGUCUGGAAACAUGCUUCCAGCGUCGCCCGAGGAUGGGACCGCGUCCGAUCAGGUAGUUGGUGGGGUAAUGGCCUACCAAGCCUAUAACCGGUACGGGCCCUGAGAGGGGGAGCCCGGAGAUGGAAACUGAGAAAAGGUUCCAGGCCCUACGGGGCGCAGCAGGCGCGAAAUCUUCACAAUGUGCGAAAGCACGAUGAGGGGAUCCCAAGUGCUGGCACGUAAGUGUCAGCUGUUUCUUAGUCUAAAAAACUGAGAGAGUAAGGGCUGGGUAAGACGGGUGCCAGCCGCCGCGGUAAUACCUGCAGCUCAAGUGGUGGCCGCUAUUAUUGGGCCUAAAACGUCCGUAGCCUGUUUAGUAAAUGCUUGGGUAAAUUGUGUAGCUUAACUAUACGAAUACCGGGUAGACUGCUAAACUUGGGACCGGGAGAGGCUAGAGGUACUCCUGGGGUAGAGGUGAAAUUCUGUAAUCCUAGGGGGACCACCAGUGGCGAAGGCGUCUAGCUAGAACGGGUCUGACGGUGAGGGACGAAGCCCUGGGCGCAAACCGGAUUAGAUACCCGGGUAGUCCAGGGUGUAAACGCUGCUUGCUUGAUGUUAGUUGGGCUCCGAGCCCAACUAGUGUCGGAGAGAAGUUGUUAAGCAAGCUGCCUGGGAAGUACGGUCGCAAGACUGAAACUUAA
rnacentral:rRNA from 1 species